rnacentral:rRNA from 1 species
UGGGGAAUCUUGCGCAAUGGACGAAAGUCUGACGCAGCCACGCCGCGUGAGUGAAGAAGGCCUUCGGUUGUAAGCAUCUGUCGGGCGGGACGAACAUCUUUGGGUUAACAGCCCAGAGGACUGACGGUACCGCCAAAGGAAGCACCGGCUAACUCUGUGCCAGCAGCCGCGGUAAUACAGAGGGUGCAAGCGUUGCUCGGAAUCAUUGGGCGUAAAGGGUAGGUAGGUGGUCUCAUUUGUCUGGGGUGAAAGCCUUGAGCUUAACUCAAGAAGUGCCCCGG